AUCAACGUGUUGACCGCGCCCCCUAGUUACAAACCCCACCCACUGUUUGAGGGACACGCACAUUUCGUAACUCAUCGUAACCCAUUUGCGCGCUUUGAAAAACGGAGGAAAAGGGAUCUAUAUACUUGAACUCCCGCAACUAUUUAUUAUUUUGAUUCAUGCCCUAUAUUUAUCAAAAUAUGUGUAUAACUAUUUGCCUAGUCUUCCUGCUGCGGAGAUAUGUAGCCAUUUCAAAUGAAUGCCAUGAAAGUGCAUUCAUAUUGUAACAACCUUUCUCUUCAGUGGAAUGUACAUAUGGGUUCAGGAAUACAGGAGUGUCUACGAUCAAAAUACUGGCAAAACAGAGAAUGGAACCUCCGGCAAGGAAAAAACUAGGAAGCAAUAAUUCUUUUCAAGGGCAUUUUCAGAUACAAGAAAUGGCCUGUCCAGUCUCUUUACCUCCAGCUUCAACAGUGGGUCUGAUUAAUCUGUAUUCAAAAUGUUUGCAAUAAAAAUCAUUGCAGUAA